UGUCAGAAUCAAGUUUAUUAUGCAGUCUAAAAUCCAUUUCAUUUUAACACAAGCACUCGCCGUCAACUAUUUCAUUCAACCAAUAGGUUAAAAAUGUCAUUGAUAUGAUAAAAAGCAUAAAAUGAAAUAUAUAUCUACAUACAUUUUUUAAUUGUAUAGUUCUAAUGGAAUGUUUUAAAUGUAUAAAUGAAUAGGUAGAAACUAUAGGACUUAUGGAUGUACAAGGGAUAUAAACAAUUUUUAUUACAAAAUAUGUAUAUUAUGCGAGAAUAAGCUCUUACAAUUG